UAGUUUGGGGAUGUGGGACUAUAUGGACUUGAUGGAGACAAUCUUGGACUGCUUGGAGAAUAUGCUAACGAAGGACUAUACUUUGCUGACUGUAGAUUGUAACUUGGGGAAGUAGGACUAUACGUUGGGGAUGUUGGGCUAUAUGAGGGUGACGUAGGGCUGUAUCCAGGUGACGUGGGGCUGUAGGCAGGGGAUGUAGGGCUAUAUGAUGGGGAGGUCGGGCUGUAAGAGGGUGAUGUGGGGCUGUAGGAAGGUGAAGUAGGACUAUAUGAAGGUGAUGUAGGACUGUAGGAAGGUGAAGUCGGACUAUAAGCAGGUGAAGUGGGGCUAUAGGCAGGUGAAGUGGGGCUGUAUGCAGGUGAAGUGGGGCUGUAGCUGGGAGAUGUGGGGCUAUAACUGGGUGAUGUGGGGCUGUAGCUGGGUGACGUGGGGCUAUAGCUGGGUGAUGUGGGAGAGUAGGAUGGACUGGUAGGCGAAUAAGCCGGACUUGUAGGACUAUAUCCUGGAGAACUAGGGCUAUAUGUCGGAGAGGUCGGACUGUAACCUGGUGAUGUAGGGCUGUAGCCCGGAGAUGUGGGACUGUACCCAGGUGAUGUGGGGCUGUACCCAGGCGAUGAUGGACUAUAGCCUGGGGAUGAUGGACUGUACCCAGGAGAUGAGGUGGGAGAAAAUGCCAUCCCACCAACAUAAGGUGAAAAUUGGGCAUCCGAUGUGGGAGACAGACGCAAAUUUGGACUC
rnacentral:lncRNA from 1 species